AUGCCUUAAACUUAUGAGUAAGGAAAAUAACAAUUCAGGGUGAUGCCCGAAUCCUCACUGCUAAUGUGAGACGAAUUUUUGAGCGGGUAAAGGUUGCCCCUAAGGUGACCUGCCUACUUUGUGGAAUGCCUGGGUACUGGGAUCUGCCCA
ensembl:snRNA U12 U12 minor spliceosomal RNA